ensembl:lncRNA
GGCUAGGAGACUGUAAACAAUCGUAUGCAUAGCUGCAGGAGUCCGGGUAAACUUGUCAGGCGAGUUAGAGAGCCAUCUGAGGGGUUUGGAUUUAAACACUCCUAAUUGCCCAGGAACUUUAUUAAUUGGAGCUGUUUUCUUAAAUACCUUGAAGAAACAUCAUGCUGCUGCUGCUGCUAAGUCGCUUCAGUCGUGUCCGACUCUGUGCAACCCCAGAGACGGCAGCGCAGCAGGCUCCCCCAUCCCUGGGAUUCUCCAGGCAAGAACACUGGAGUGGGUUGCCAUUUCCUUCUCCAGUGCAUGAAAGUAAAAAGUGAAAGUGAAGUCGCUCAGUCAUUUCCGACUCCUAGCGACCCCAUGGACUGCAGCCCACCAGGCUCCUCCAUCCAUGGGAUUUUCCAGGCAAGAGUACUAGAGUGGGGUGCUAUUGCCUUCUCUGGAAGAAACAUCAUAGACAUACCCUUAAAGCCUCCUUUUUGCCUUUUAUGCCUUUCAUCACAAACGUACCACAGCUGUUCCCACUUCAUCCUCAUUCUGUUAAAAUCUUCUCUGCCCCAGGCCUCGUUGAGGCACUAGACCUGUGGCCUCCAGCUGCACUUUGUUUGGGCUUGUUUUCAAACUCAAGAAGGUUCACACACACAAAAAUCCCAGACUUGGACCUUUGAAAAGUUAAAAGUUCUGGCAACAGUGGGUCCACAUUCAUUCAUGAUAAUGGUUGUCUGGAGCUGGUCCACGAAUGAUGAGAUGGAUCUCUUCCCUCCAUUUGUCCACAACACCCACC